GAAUGCACUCAGCCUGAGCACAGAUGCUCCAUUUUGGUGUACUGAGAGAGACAUGGCACACAUCAGGAAAUGGUGGUGCAUUAAUUUGAUGGAACGGUUCCAGAUUGAUGGCCACGGACAGAGGUUUGCAUACUGGACAAAUGAGGCCACAGCAUUGCUCCAAGGAUCAUUGCAGCCGAUCUACAGGAUCCCGAAGACCAGAAAAAGGGAUCAUGAGGUGAGCAUGAUGUUGGUGGCAGAGGACACCCAGUGUCAUGCUCCUUUUUGUUAUUGACUCAUUGUAACGACCCAGGUGGGUCUCUCAAGACUCUGCCCAUUUGCGCUGGUUGCCUGUUCUGUCACCUCCCCUUUCUUGUGUGCAGGUCUCAGGUGUGUGCAAUGACCCUGCUGAUUGGGGAGUGUAGAAAAGACCUGCCGUGCCAACAUCCGGGGCUCUCUCCUCUCCUCCGCUGGCUUUAGGCUUUUGUUUGGUUGUUCCCAUGACUGAUCUCACACCACACUUUUGGUUACAUUACAUAUUACUGACUUACACCACACCCCAUUAACUUUACCGUAGUUUCUGUUC